rnacentral:rRNA from 1 species
UNCGAUUGCGAAGGCAGCUUGCUGGACUGUAACUGACGCUGAGGCACGAAAGCGUGGGGAUCAAACAGGAUUAGAUACCCUGGUAGNCCACGCCGUAAACGAUGAAUGCUAGCUGUUAGCGAUAUACUGUUAGCGGCACAGAGAAAUCGUUAAGCAUUCCACCUGGGGAGUACGCCGGCAACGGUGAAACUCAAAGGAAUUGACGGGGNNCCGCACAAGCGGAGGAACAUGUGGUUUAAUUCGAUGAUACGCGAGGAACCUUACCUGGGCUUAAAUUGCAGUGGAAUAACGUGGAAACAUGUUAGCCUUCGGGCCGCUGUGAAGGUGCUGCAUGGUUGUCGUCAGCUCGUGCCGUGAGGUGUCGGCUUAAGUGCCAUAACGAGCGCAACCCUCAUCGAUAGUUACUAACAGGUUAAGCUGAGGACUCUAUCGAGACUGCCGACGUAAGUCGUGAGGAAGGUGGGGAUGACGUCAAAUCAGCACGGCCCUUACGUCCAGGGCUACACACGUGUUACAAUGGGGGGUACAAAGGGCAGCUACCUGGCGACAGGAUGCUAAUCUCAAAAACCUCUCUCAGUUCGGAUUGGAGUCUGCAACCCGACUCCAUGAAGCUGGAUUCGCUAGUAAUCGCGCAUCAGCCACGGCGCGGUGAAUACGUUCCCGGGCCUUGUACACACCGCCCGUCAAGCCAUGGGAGCCGGGGGGACCUGAAGUAUGCAACCGUAAGGAGCGUCCUAGGGUAAAACUGGUGACUGGGGCU